rnacentral:rRNA from 1 species
CGGAGGUGCAAGCGUUAUCCGGAUUUAUUGGGUUUAAAGGGUCCGUAGGCGGACUUGUAAGUCAGUGGUGAAAUCUCAUAGCUUAACUAUGAAACUGCCAUUGAUACUGCAGGUCUUGAGUAAAUUUGAAGUGGCUGGAAUAAGUAGUGUAGCGGUGAAAUGCAUAGAUAUUACUUAGAACACCAAUUGCGAAGGCAGGUCACUAAGAUUUAACUGACGCUGAUGGACGAAAGCGUGGGUAGCGAACAGGAUU